AGUCGAGCGGAGUUGAUCGACGGAAGCCUUCGGGCGGAAGAUGAUUAACUUAUGCGGCGGAUGGGUGAGUAACGCGUGGGCAACCUGCCUCGAAGACCGGGAUAACAGUUCGAAAGGGCUGCUAAUACCGGAUGUGGUCAAGUGUCAGCAUGGGCAUUUGAUUAAAGGGGAAACCCGUUUCGAGAUGGGCCCGCGUCCUAUCAGCUAGUUGGUGAGGUAAAGGCUCACCAAGGCAAUGACGGGUAGCCGKCYUGAGAGGAGUGACCGGCCACACUGGAACUGAGACACGGUCCAGACUCCUACGGGGGGCAGCAGUGGGGAAUCUUCCACAAUGGGCGAAAGCCUGAUGGAGCGACGCCGCGUGAGCGAAGAAGGCCUUCGGGUUGUAAAGCUCUGUCUGGAGGGACGAAGAAAGUGACGGUACCUCCGGAGGAAGCCACGGCUAACUACGUGCCAGCAGCCGCGGUA
rnacentral:rRNA from 1 species